UCCUCACAGAGACCACGUCAGGUCCUUAACCUGCUGAGCCACAACAGGAGCUCCAGGAUUCUCUUUUAAAUCAGUGUUCCACUUGGCAGUGAUUAGUUUUCCUUAACACCAGAUAAGUUGCAAAUCCAGUAAAAGACGCACCUAGGCUGUUUAUGAGAUUUUGAACAAGCCUCUCAGGAGCCACUGUUAGGCUCUGACCGAGACCUCCUGGCCAGGCCCCUGGAAAGCCCACGACAGUGACCCUCAACAGGCCAACUCAGUGAGAGCCCCAGGCCCACUCUGAAUAUUAAAUGCUGAUGCAGUUAGUUUCUUUGUCAGAUGAAAGUAAAUAUCAAUACAAGGCCGGAUUAUUUCUCUCCAAAGCCGUGCCGUCCUAUAAAGUCACUGUAGCACAUGUGGCCAUUUAAAUAAAACUGUGAAUUAAUUGGUGGUCAAUAAAAUUAAAAUUCAUUUCUGCAUUUUCAUGAGCCGCGUUUCAAGUGCUCAGUGGGCAGAAGCUCCUGCGCUGCACAGAGCAGCCGGAGAACGUGGCUGGCUCUCCCGGGUUGCAGUGCUCCCGCGGGCUGCCCGGUGGGCCCACGGCUUCAGAGGAGCACCAGCGAUCCUCUGGGCCUGAACCCUGGCAUGGGCCUGAGCCCGUCCAGGGUUCGGGGCUCCCCGCCAGUGCACCUUCCUGCCUUCCGACCGUCCCUCUGUCCCAUUGCUCUGUCCCAGCAGGUGCCGGGUCCUGUGGUCCCUGCUGACGUGUGAGAGCCCGCCAGGCAUCACUGUGCGCUUAGCAAUGCCUGAAAAGACCAGCGGCUUCCUUGGGUCUAAUUCUUCACAAGUCAAGCAAAACAAUAGCUCGGGCUGCCAAAGCAGAGUCAGUGGCUGCAAAUUUGAAACCGAGCUGGUGCCAGUGCUUCCCAAACUGUGUUCCGAGGGACACCAGUGUGUCGUGAUGUGCUUUCUAGUCCAAGGAUGCACAGGAACAUUCUGGGGAACCGCGCGCCUGACGGGGUCCACCGCGUGCCGUCAGGGAGCAGCUCUGUGCCUUGGCAGAGCUGGGUUCCCAUCAGCUGCUGAGAUGAGAGGCUAGAACCGGAGUGGAAGUGAGGGGGCUGUGCCCACCGUGCCUCAGACUCAGGCUGUGCGGUGACACCUCGCCGUGCUCGCCCACUGGUACGAAAGAGGGAUCAUGUAAGGAUGAAGUACUGCGUUUUAAUCUUAUUGAAGCGUCGCUGGUUCACAGUGUAGCGUCAGUUUCUGCCAUACAGCCAGGAGACUCAGUUACACACACACACAUGCCCAUUCUUCCUCGGAAUCUUUCCCCACACAGGCGAUCGCGGACUGCUGGGUCGAGUUCUCUGUGCUGCACAGCGGGCCCCCGUUGAGCACUCUCUCUUAGACCUCAGUGUGCGUAGGCCAGUCUCACACCCCAGGCCAUCCCUCCCCCACCUGUCCCCCGCGGUGACUCUAAGUUUGUUUUCCACGUCUGUGAGUCUGUUUCACUUUUUUAAGUUCAUUUGUAUCAUUUUUUUAGAUUCCACAUAGAAGUGAAAUCAUACGGUGUUUGUCUUUCAUAUUUCACGUGAAAUACCGUUUUGCAUUUCGACGUACGUGUAUUAUUUUCUCAAACAACUACCUAGUUGUGAGGAUACAACUAUGUAAGCUGUUUGGAUGCCAUCCUUAAGAAGUGGGGCUGUCAGGUAUUUCUCUGGGCCAAGGGUCACCAGGAAGAGUCACCUCAACACUGACAGGUGCCCUGAGCCUCCGAGGUUUGGGAACCUCGCCAGCAGGUUCCUCGGCAGAACAAAGGAGGUGGAACCAAGCCCCGAAAGCGCGAAAUGUCAUGCUGACUUCUUUCUGAAACGCUCCCCGUUAGUUUGCCAGGGCUGGACGGCCCGUUAAGCUUUAGCUCUCUCUCAUCCCAAAUGCAAAUACACACCUGAAAGUAUUACUAAGAAAAUCAUCUUUUUAAAGCAGAGAUCACUGCCCAUCGAACAAAGCACAUUCUCAGAACGAGGUCCAGGAGGGCUCUUCCCCAGCCCGCUGUUAGAGGCCCUCGGCCAGUCCAUUCACUAAAGACCCCUUUCACUGCAGACCGAGUAUAUCUUUUUUGUAAAAUCAGAGCUCUCGUAGAAGCCAGAGGCAGCAGAAAACUAACACUUAGGAGCAAAGUUAUAAGUGAAAAGCAAACAAAAGCAGAAAAAAAAAAAAAAAUCACCAUUCAGUGACAACUCAAUUAACAACUCCUCUGGGGAAAAUCUUCUGCGUGUAAUCGCUCUCUGAUUAAACCAGGAGGGCCGAAAACACCGCCUGGAUCACAUCUGACAGGCAGCCUGCGUUUCAUUACAGCCCAAGGACGCCGGCGGCUGGACCAACCAAAGCGGCUUUUCGCACGCCCGCCCGGCGCUGUGCGCAGCCAGAGGGAAGUGACAGCGAACGCCAGCCCAGCCCACUUUCGCGUAACCCCAGCGUUGGAGCGGGAGUUUCCUGCUUUCCUGACUCCAUCACAUUCUGCUCCAGAGCUGAUGCCUUCUUGCCAGUUCCCCCAAGGCUCUGGGCUCCCGUUUCCCCACCAGGAAAUGAAGGUAAUAAUAAUUUCGACUUCAUGGUACUUCUGUAAAAUUAAACUAACAAGUACGUGUAGAGCAGUCACAGCAAUGCUCACAGGCCUCUGUAAAUAUCGGCUGGUAUCACCAAGACGAACGGCUGGGGGUUCCCAUCCUGGCUCAGCGGAAACAAAUCUGACUAGUAUCUGUGAGGACACAGGUUCGAUGCCUGGCCUCGAUCAGCUGGCCAAGGAUCUGGUGUUGCCGUGAGCUGUGGUGUAGGUCGCAGCCUCAGCUUGGGUCCUGCAUCGCUGUGGCUGUGGUGGAGGCCGGCAGUUACAGCUCCGAUUCCACCCUGGCCUGGGAACGUCCAUAUGCCACAGGUGCAGCCCUAGAAAAGACCGGAAAAAAAAAAAAAAAAAAAGACACACGUCUGAUACAAAGCCACCGAGUCAAAUGAUGAGAGUAGUUUUUGACUUUUUUUUUUUUUUUUUUUUUUUUUUUUUUGUCUUUUGUCUUUUCAAGGCCGCACCCACAGCACAUAGAGGUUCCCAAGCUCUAGGGAUCGAAUAGGAGCUGUGGCCACCGGCCUACACCACAGCUGCAGAAACGUGGGAUCCGAGCCGCAUCUGUGACCUGCACCACAGCUCAUGGCAACGCCGAAUCCUUAACCCUCUGAGUGAGGCCAGGGAUCAAACCCGCAUCCUCAUGGAUACUAGUCGGGUUUGUUAACCACUGAGCCACAAUGGGAACUCCUGUUUUUGACUUUUGAAAUGUAUACCUAAGUUUUCCUAAGGAAAAUUUUUAGCCAAUUUACCUUCUUUUGGAAGGGGCUUGUUUGCCUGAGUAUAAUAUAUUUCAAUUUUUAGAAUUUUGCCAAUUCGAACUAUAGAUCACAGUCUUCUAUUGCACCUGCCUCCAGUUCUGGAUGUCGUUUGGUUUUCUACUGGUUUUGGUUUUUUGAGGUUGAGUAGUGUAGUAUUCUGAAGCAUUUUCUCCUGUAACUUCAACCCCCAUUUCUGAAUCUGACAGUUUGGUCUAUUCUGGGUUUUUUGGCCUUUGAUCGGGCCCUCCCCCUAUGCAAGGCCCCCCCCCCCCAACCUGCUUUCAUCUCGGAGCCUCAGCCGCAC
rnacentral:lncRNA from 1 species